rnacentral:rRNA from 1 species
GGUGGAGCGAUUUGUCUGGUUUAUUCCGAUAACGAGCGAGACUCUAGCCUGCUAAAUAGUGUGCAGAUACCAUAGGUCUGUACUUACUUCUUAGAGGGAUAAGCGGCGUUAUAGCCGCACGAGAUUGAGCGAUAACAGGUCUGUGAUGCCCUUAGAUGUCCGGGGCUGCACGCGCGCUACACUGGAAGAAUCAGCGGGCUCUUCCAUCCUCGAAAGGGGUUGGUAAACCGUUGAAACUCUUCCGUGACCGGGAUAGGGAAUUGUAAUUAUUUCCCUUGAACGAGGAAUUCCUAGUAAGUGUGAGUCAUCACCUCACGUUGAAUACGUCCCUGCCCUUUGUAC